UUGUAUGUACUUUACGAAUAAGGAUCGGCUAACUCCGUGCCAGCAGCCGCGGUAAUACGGAGGAUCCGAGCGUUAUCCGGAUUUAUUGGGUUUAAAGGGUGCGUAGGCGGACCCAUAAGUCAGUGGUGAAAGUUUGCAGCUCAACUGUAAAAUUGCCAUUGAAACUGUGUGUCUUGAGUGUAAAUGAGGUAGGCGGAAUGUGUUGUGUAGCGGUGAAA
rnacentral:rRNA from 1 species